AAACAAAAGGUUAAAUAGACUUGUUGAUAUGUAAAACUCUCCAUUACCUUCUCUAUUAGAAAUGGUAGAUCGCAUAAUGGCUAUGCUAAUUAUUCUCAUGCCUGAGAAUGGGUGUAACAAAAGGUUAAAAAGACGUUGUUGAUAUGUAAAAGUCUCAAAUUCCUUCUCUAUUAGUAACGUUAGAUUGUGCUGUGGUUAUGCUAAUAACAAGUUUUGUUUCAUAGUAAGUAAAUUGCAGCCAGCUGCCUUUGGGACUCUAGGCCGUUCCCCACCCCCAUG